CUGAUGCUUGUUCCAGUACAGUUUACAUAGCCAAGAUUUGGAAGCAACCCAAGCGGCCAUCAACCAACGAAUGGAUAAAGAAAAUGUGUGUGUCUCCACUUCCUGCCACUUCCAGCCACUUGAGUUUCCGGUGAGUUCCAGAAUGUCCUCCACAGUUUUGUAGCCAUCCUGCAGGAGCAUGAAUUAACAUCCUGCUUUAUAAAUCAGAAUCACCUUUUAAAAGUCGACUCUGUAGGUGUGCUGGCAAUUAUUCCUGCUACACUGGAGAUGAAAGAAAGUGUGGUCUAACCAUGGCGAUCUGCCUCAAAUAGGAAACUGAAUUACUAAUCAAUGCAGAGUAGCGAAGGUGUUAUUAUUCUCACUGCUUUGGGAUUAUAAUUUUCUGCCAUAGAUAAGGAGGAAAAUGAAAAAUAUACAGCUGAAUCUGAAGCUCCACCCAACGUGCUAAAAGUCAACUGUAUCAAAAACCGAGAGCCGACGCCGAGAAAGAAUAGAAUAUUUAAAAGUGAGCUUCUGAUACUUUGUCCAGGGGAGGUUGACAACCAAAAUAAAGCCAGU
rnacentral:lncRNA from 13 species